rnacentral:rRNA from 1 species
UACGGAGGGUGCGAGCGUUGUCCGGAAUCACUGGGCGUAAAGGGCGCGUAGGUGGCUACUCAAGCGCGCGGUGAAAGCCCGGGGCUCAACCCCGGGUCGGCCGUGCGGACUGGGAGCUCGAGCACUGUAGGGGCGGGUGGAAUUCCGGGUGUAGCGGUGGAAUGCGCAGAUAUCAGGAGGAACACCAAUAGCGAAGGCAGCUCGCUGGGACGUUACUGACACUGAGGCGCGAAAAGCGUGGGGGAGCGAACAGG